AUAUAUCCUUAUCAAUCUAUCUUCUCCACUCGUUUAAUAUUUCAUUUCUUCUUUCUUCUCCCCACCACCACCAGCUGCUCCUCCUACCGCAGCACCACCACUGAGCCAUUGUCACUUCAAGAUAUGCCAUGAUCACCGUCGCCUCUUCCUCUAGCACCUCCUACUUCUUCUCUCAGAACGUCGUACCCGUUAUCAAUUUCUGAUCCUCCAUCAACGCCAGAUCCACCUCCUCUUCGUCCUCCUUCCUCACCAGCGGCACUUACACCUUCUCCAACUCCAAUACAAUCAAAUCUCACUUCUAAACCACCUCCACCAUCACCACAGCCAAUUUUACGCCCUUCAAUUAGUUCUAGUUUGAUUAAUUUUGGUUGAUUUUUAACUUAUAUUGAUUUUGUUCGAUUGGUAUUUAAUCUCUCAAUGAAAAUCUAAAUUUGAUCAGAUCCAAUUUGUUUUUGAAAAAUUUAGCGAUUUUUCUUUUUAAUUUUCAGAGAUUGUUAUCCCAUCGAUUGGAUGGAAUUUUGCUCUUAACAAAUGAUUUAGAUCUUCUUACCAAUAAAUCGAAUUGAAAUUUCUGAACGGAUACAAAAGGGAAGGGUAUCUCUUUGAAGGAUAAAUUUAGGGGGAACUCAUUUGGAAUGUGGCAUAAAUGAUUCGUAAAAAUUGGGAGUUGUGUUUUAUUAUCGCAAACAUAAUCUGGGAUCAGAAGAUUAUGAAGAUAAAGCACAAAAAUGCAAGAGGAAAAGGGUGGAAUUCAAUACGUUCAAGAUGAUGUGGAGGCAACUUAGAAUUGAGGUACCACUUACUGGGUAACAACGAAAAAAGGAAAGCACAAAACAUCGUUCUUACCAGGAUAAUUUGUUGGACGUACGACAGCUCUUUCAAUGGCUCUUGUUUUGGUUAUAAAUGCGAGAAAGCUUGUACAUAAGGAAGGAAACAUGUUUGCACUUUAUAGGCAAG